rnacentral:rRNA from 1 species
UUAAAAAGCUCGUAGUUGAAUUUCGGGAUCAGUACGUUGGUCGUGCCUUAGGUACGUACUGGUGUUACUGGUCCCUACCUUCUGACGAACCAUCAUGUCAUUAAUUUGGUGUGGCGGGGAAUCAGGACUGUUACUUUGAAAAAAUUAGAGUGUUUAAAGCAGGCUCGCGCUUGAAUACAUUAGCAUGGAAUGAUGAAAUAGGACGUUGAUCCUAUUUUGUUGGUUUCUAGGAUUGACGUAAUGAUUAAUAGGGAUAGUUGGGGG